CCUACGGGAGGCAGCAGUGGGGAAUAUUGCACAAUGGGCGAAAGCCUGAUGCAGCGACGCCGCGUGAGGGAUGACGGCCUUCGGGUUGUAAACCUCUUUCAGCAGGGAAGAAGCGAGAGUGACGGUACCUGCAGAAGAAGCGCCGGCUAACUACGUGCCAGCAGCCGCGGUAAUACGUAGGGCGCAAGCGUUGUCCGGAAUUAUUGGGCGUAAAGAGCUCGUAGGCGGCUUGUUGCGUCGGUUGUGAAAGCCCGGGGCUUAACCCCGGGUCUGCAGUCGAUACGGGCAGGCUAGAGUGUGGUAGGGGAGAUCGGAAUUCCUGGUGUAGCGGUGAAAUGCGCAGAUAUCAGGAGGAACACCGGUGGCGAAGGCGGAUCUCUGGGCCAUUACUGACGCUGAGGAGCGAAAGCGUGGGGAGCGAACAGGAUUAGAUACCCUGGUAGUCCACGCCGUAAACGUUGGGAACUAGGUGUUGGCGACAUUUCACGUCGUCGGUGCCGCAGCUAACGCAUUAAGUUCCCCGCCUGGGGAGUACGGCCGCAAGGCUAAAACUCAAAGGAAAUUGACGGCUUGUAGAGNGCGAGACGACGACGAGGGAGGAGG
rnacentral:rRNA from 1 species